rnacentral:rRNA from 1 species
CUAUGAGAUGGACCCGCGUUGUAUUAGCUAGUUGGUAGUGUAAUGGACUACCAAGGCGAUGAUACAUAGCCGACCUGAGAGGGUGAUCGGCCACAUUGGGACUGAGACACGGCCCAAACUCCUACGGGAGGCAGCAGUAGGGAAUCUUCGGCAAUGGACGAAAGUCUGACCGAGCAACGCCGCGUAAGUGAAGAAGGUUUUCGGAUCGUAAAACUCUGUUGUUAGAGAAGAAUGUUGAUUAGAGUGGAAAAUUAAUCAAGUGACGGUAUCUAACCAGAAAGGGACGGCUAACUACGUGCCAGCAGCCGCGGUAAUACGUAGGUCCCGAGCGUUGUCCGGAUUUAUUGGGCGUAAAGCGAGCGCAGGUGGUUUAAUAAGUCUGAUGUAAAAGGCAGUGGCUCAACCAUUGUGUGCAUUGGAAACUGUUAGACUUGAGUGCAGUAGAGGAGAGUGGAAUU